UACGAGGGGGGCGAGCGUUGUUCGGAAUUAUUGGGCGUAAAGGGUGCGUAGGCGGUUUGGUAAGUCUCGUGUGAAAUCUCCGGGCUCAACUCGGAGCCUGCACGAGAAACUGCCGGGCUUGAGUGUGGGAGGGGUGAGUGGAAUUCCUGGUGUAGCGGUGAAAUGCGUAGAUAUCAGGAGGAACACCUGUGGCGAAAGCGGCUCACUGGACCAUAACUGACGCUGAUGCACGAAAGCUAGGGGAGCAAACAGG
rnacentral:rRNA from 1 species